CAACCAUCUCCAGGAAAGCAGGGCUCCAUCAUGUUUAACGGUUAUGUGGGAAGACAAAUGCCAUCGCUCUGAAUGUCCCCCCUUCCUUCUCCUUCCCCCAGCUUUAUAUGCUGAGCAUGACAUCAUAUGGUCUGGAACAGCCCUUGGGUCAGUUGGGGUCAGCUGUCCCAGCUGUGUCCCCUCCCGGCUCCUUGUUCAGCCCCAGCCUGCUCGCUGGUAGGGCAGGGUGAGAAGCUGAACAGCCCUUGACUCUGUGCAAGCACUGCUCAGCAAUAACAAAAACAUCCCUGUGUUAUCAACACUGCUUUCAGCACAAAUCCAAAACGUAGCCCCAUACUAGCUACUGGGAAGAAAAUUAACUCUAUCCCAGCCAAAACCAGCACAACAGGGUACAUGACAGAGACAAAAGAAUUAAAAAAUGGGGACAGCUAACUAAACAAACAGACAUAGGAAGAAAAUUUAAAAGGUGAUGGGCUACAUGACAGACAGGAAUAACUUAAAGACUGACACAGUGAACAGGUUAAAGUAGACAUAGAAAGAAAAAGUAAAAAGCAAUGGGGUACACAAUAGUGAGGAAAGAAUUAAAAAACAGUGAUACACAGCUCGAUAGAAGUAGACAUAGAAGGAAAAUUUAAGAAGUGAUUGGGUACAGGACAGAAAAAAAUUUAAAAAAUAGCCACAGUGAACUAAAACUGAGAAAUAUAAAGGAAAUUUAAAAGUGACACAGGGGCACAGGACAGAGAG